rnacentral:rRNA from 1 species
GUCAUUAGAGGACCUCCGGAUCAAGGUAGGG